AGUGAACGCACCACUGGUGUACGGGUUGUGAUGCCAAUUGCAUUGCCCGGUAGCUAAGUGCGGAAGAGAUAACCGCUGAAAGCAUCUAAGCGGGAAACUUGCCUCGAGAUGAGUCUUCCCUGACCCUUUAAGGGUCCUGAAGGAACGUUUGAGACUAAGACGUUGAUAGGCUGGGUGUGUAAGCGCAGCGAUGCGUUGAGCUGACCAGUACUAAUGAACCGWGAGGCUUAACCUGACAACACCGAAGGUGUUU
rnacentral:rRNA from 1 species